GACGAACGCUGGCGGCGUGCUUAACACAUGCAAGUCGAACGGAAAGGCCCUGCUUUUGUGGGGUGCUCGAGUGGCGAACGGGUGUGUAACACGUGAGUAACCUGCCCUAGACUUUGGGAUAACUUCAGGAAACUGGGGCUAAUACCGGAUAGGAGCUCCCGCUGCAUGGUGGGGGUUGGAAAGUUUUGGCGGUUGGGGAUGGACUCGCGGCUUAUCAGCUUGUUGGUGGGGUAGUGGCUUACCAAGGCUUUGACGGGUAGCCGGCCUGAGAGGGUGACCGGCCACAUUGGGACUGAGAUACGGCCCAGACUCCUACGGGAGGCAGCAGUGGGGAAUAUUGCACAAUGGGCGGAAGCCUGAUGCAGCAACGCCGCGUGCGGGAUGACGGCCUUCGGGUUGUAAACCGCUUUCGCCUGUGACGAAGCGUGAGUGACGGUAAUGGGUAAAGAAGCACCGGCUAACUACGUG
rnacentral:rRNA from 1 species